rnacentral:piRNA from 1 species
UCAGAAGUAAAGCGGAGAG